UCCAAAUUCCUACGGGAGGCAGCAGUGAGGAAUAUUGGUCAAUGGUCGGCAGACUGAACCAGCCAAGUCGCGUGAGGGAAGACGGCCCUACGGGUUGUAAACCUCUUUUGUCGGAGAGUAAAGUACGCUACGUGUAGCGUAUUGCAAGUAUCCGAAGAAAAAGCAUCGGCUAACUCCGUGCCAGCAGCCGCGGUAAUACGGAGGAUGCGAGCGUUAUCCGGAUUUAUUGGGUUUAAAGGGUGCGUAGGCGGCACGCCAAGUCAGCGGUGAAAUUUCCGGGCUCAACCCGGACUGUGCCGUUGAAACUGGCGAGCUAGAGUGCACAAGAGGCAGGCGGAAUGCGUGGUGUAGCGGUGAAAUGCAUAGAUAUCACGCAGAACCCCGAUUGCGAAGGCAGCCUGCUAGGGUGCGACAGACGCUGAGGCACGAAAGCGUGGGUAUCGAACAGGAUUAGAUACCCUGGUAGUCCACGCAGUAAACGAUGAAUACUAACUGUUUGCGAUACAAUGUAAGCGGUACAGCGAAAGCGUUAAGUAUUCCACCUGGGGAGUA
rnacentral:rRNA from 1 species